rnacentral:rRNA from 1 species
UACGGGGGGGGCAAGCGUUGUUCGGAAUUACUGGGCGUAAAGGGCUCGUAGGUGGCCAACUAAGUCAGACGUGAAAUCCCUCGGCUUAACCGGGGAACUGCGUCUGAUACUGGAUGGCUUGAGUUUGGGAGAGGGACGCGGAAUUCCUGGUGUAGCGGUGAAAUGCGCAGAUAUCAGGAGGAACACCAAUGGCGAAGGCAGCUCGCUGGGACGUGACUGACGCUGAGACGCGAAAGCGUGGGGAGCAAACAGG